GGGGUGGUAGCUCAAUUGGUUAGAGCGCUGCCCUGUCACGGCAGAGGUCGCGGGUUCGAGUCCCGUCCAUCCCG
rfam:Parcubacteria (Falkowbacteria) bacterium GW2011_GWA2_41_14 TT43_C0001, whole genome shotgun sequence.